AUGACUCCUUACCCUCUCCCUUAAAACCCACAUCCUUUCGUCUUUCCCUCUCCUUCCUUCUUUCCUGAUGAGGCAACAGUUUGUUGCGAAAGCUUGAAUUUUGUGUGUAUGUUUGUGUUUGUUUGUGUGUCUGUCGACCUGCCAGCACUUUCAUUUGUCAUCAAGAAGAAGCAAGGCAAAAGAGGAAAAUUGACAAAACUACAGCAUACGAAACAAAUCAAUAAGUUACACAUUAUGUCUUUGACCACCCUGUUUUCUUCCUGGGAAGAAACAAACAGUUGUGAAAGCUCUUUCUACUUUUGAAUAUGUCACAUGGCAGAACUUGGAAUUCUGAUGAAGCUGCAGUGCAACCAAUCAUGAGGCUAUUUAUUGGAAAAGCCCAGUGUUGAGAGCUAACAUACUGUAUGGCUUCUACUGCAAUACCUACUUCCUCGGCUACUUCUCUUCUAAUAUUUUCUUCAAUGGACUCACCUGUAAAGCAUUUUUUUAAAAUUGUUACUCAUAUUCUUAAUAAAGCCUGGAAACAGUCACAUACCAUUUUCCAAUCCGCAAUGAAGAAAAAGAUGUGCAAUGACUUAAACAAUGCAACAGUGAAUUCAGGUUACAAAAAAGAAAGACAAUAGAACACUUUUCUUUUGGCAUAUGUUUGUAUUCCCACACACUUUCUGUACAAAAUUAAUGUUGUCCUCUUAAGCAGGAAAAUGAUACUAUUAAACAAAGGUAUCAAUGAGCAAAGUAACAACCAUCUAGUAUUAAGAAUCUAAUAUUUGUCUUCUUGUGAAAGUACCUACUGGCCAACAUCAAAACUAGAGGCUGAACACUGAUUAAAAAUGAAACUUUGAUUCUUCAUGGGUAUUUAAGUUCAGUAAUCAUCUUAUAGAGUAUGACUAUCAAGUCUAGGUCAUGAAAAAUAUUAGAAAAAUGGUUUGUUUUGCCUGUUCACUACGGUAAUUUUCUUGUGGAUUGGCAAACUCUCUCAUGAUGAUUUCAAAUCUGAUUAGACACCAUAAUGUCUGAGGAGCAAAAUGAGCCACAAUGUACACUAACAAUAAGAAUUAGUACUGCCUAUCUAGGUGUAGAGAUUAUAUUAACUAUCAUAAAAGAUAGUACACAGCUAAUUUAGAGUUACACUUGGUUAACUAAUGGCAGUCACUUCCAAGCCUGAAAGACCCAGAAGCCAUCGCAAUACAAUCUUUGCUUGUAUGUAGACUGAGCCGUGUAUAUAUUCAGUUCUCUUAUUCAGAAGAAGGCAGAGAUGAGCUGAACAUACCAUGAGCCCCAUUUUGUUGAAGAUGAGCAAAUUUUGACCAUUACCCAUAGAAUGUUACUGGGUCAUUGAAUUAUUGCUGGAGUAUUACAUGUAAGUAGAAAGAAAGAAGGCUAAACAAUGCUGUAAUCAGUAUAGUCUUUUAUUACCAGAAUACAUAGGUAUACAUACGUUUCAUUACCAAUAAGGAUACUGCACUUAAAGUAAUGAUAUGAAAGAAAUCUCAGAUAAACAACAAAGUAUGAUUUUAAAAAUAAAUACAAGGUACUUCUUGAAACAAUACAGGUAUACCGGUACACCGCACCACCCUCACACCAUAUGGAGGAGUUACAAAAACCUGACAAAAAUAAAUAACGUAACAGAAU